UACGGAGGGGGCUAGCGUUGUUCGGAAUUACUGGGCGUAAAGCGCACGUAGGCGGCUUUGUAAGUUAGAGGUGAAAGCCCAGGGCUUAACCCUGGAAUUGCCUUUAAGACUGCAUCGCUAGAAUUGUGGAGAGGUAAGUGGAAUUCCGAGUGUAGAGGUGAAAUUCGUAGAUAUUCGGAAGAACACCAGUGGCGAAGGCGACUGACUGGACAAGUAUUGACGCUGAGGUGCGAAAGCGUGGGGAGCAAACAGG
rnacentral:rRNA from 1 species